ACAUCUCGAACACAAGACUUUAGCAUUUUUUAACAUAAAAGCUGACUGUUCUCCGAUGUGCUCCCAAGCCCUGACCUUGCUCUGUAAGCCUGCCGAGGAAAACAAACUUUGGUCACCCCCAGCCGCGGUCAAGGUUCACACCGCAGGGCUGGGGAGCUAGCAGCCAGCAGCAGCAAGCAGUCUGCUCGGAAUCCAGCACGUAGUGAAGAUGAAAAUUCCGAGCCAUCCCCAAAGAAGUCCGGGCUUCAACGCCGUGUGCGCGCCGGUGUACAGGCUGGGAUGAGCAAGGGAUCCCUCGAGAGGGGAAGAGGUGCUUCCAUCACCACCAUCGACUGCACCGAAUAGCAUAUUCUGGCCAGGCUGCUCCAUUUCUGUUCCAGACACAAACAAAGCAUUAAAGUAGUGUGAAGUCUGUUGAGGGCACGCUUCUGUGUGGUGGCAGCUGCGUUUGAUGGAGCACGAGCCAGCACUGAGCAACCACGGCUGCAAUUUCGGGGUCCUUCCCACCGACAGACCCAAGCCUCAUUUUUGUCCAUUUUCCUGAGAGACAGUGUCAGCUCCCCUGCCCCAGGAGCAGCAAGCCAACCAGUUUCCCGUCCUGCUUCCAGUGGUCGUCCAGAAAGUGGCAAUGCAACCAGCAACCGGCCCUCAACCAAAGCUGCCCAGCCCAGAAGUAAUUGCUUCCCGUAGUGCUGAAUUGGAGAACGAAUAGAGGACGCAUUCGUUACUAUUUUUAAAUCCUGUUAGACUAGGGCUGGGCUUAUCACGUGGCACAAAAGAUAGCUAUGUAUAUUGACUGUCAAGUGGCCCUAUGGGAGCCAAGCCAAGGCAGACCCAACCGAGGAAGCUGAGAACCAGUGGUCAGAGUAGAUGAUCAUCUACACCGGUUCACUUUCGCAAAAAGCCCCUAAACUGCUAAAUGCUCACCUUACAGAUUGCGUUCUUUUAACCUGACUGCAUGCAAACUUCAAGCCAUUAUUUGGAGGCGAUCCUAGAAAGUAGCAUUGCUCACAACUGAGUGUUUUUGAGGCGUUUCAGCGAGCGCUUCUGGUGUCCAAGGUGAGCACUUGUCAUAUUCCCUUGACGUUUUCUCGGUCCCAGCUACAAGACCGAGGCGAUGACUUUCCCAGUGUGGGUAGAGAAACGCCAGCUGGAAUGUCAGCACCCCUCACUCCAGCCCCAGCCAGUACCCCAAAAUGGACCGCUCCUUAGACAAGCAGGUGAUUGGCUGAUGGAGAGAACAUAGGAUUGACAGGUGGUAGAUGCUGGGUUGAUAGAGGUCAGAUAACCCGUAUGGACACGUUGGGGUGUUCUGAUACAUGAAGAGCCUUUGCUGCUGUGGCAUGUUCUGUGGCUCCAUACUUUGGAGAACCCUGACCCAUAUGUAAUACAGCCUGGCAUGUGGCUGGUGAGAGAUGUGCUUUGGGCUUCCUUCUUGUGUGGCUGCUUCCCAGGGUCCCCUCCAGUAGACCUGCCGCAGUCCAGUCACAGGGCUUCAGUGCCGGCUGAUGAUUAGGCACAAGAAGGCUAAACAAGGAAAUGGGAAGCUGGAGUGUGGCUGCAGUGACGAGAAGGGGGCCCCUGGGCAUUGGUGUGACCGCACCGGGGCCUGGCUUCAUUUCCUGGGACUGCCAUAGUCUUCAGGAAGUGGAGUAGCUCCAAAGAGCCCCAGAAAUAUGUUCUGUCGUAGCUCAGGGGCUAGGAAGUCUGACAUGGAGGGUCUGCUUGGCUGGUCCCUCCUAGAGGUGCUGGCUGAGGAAUCUGUCUGGGUCUCCCCUCCUGCCUCUGCUGAGACCACCAGUCUUUGGACAGUCUUCCUUGGCUCACACAUGAACUUUCCAGUCUCCAGUCUGUCUUCUCACGCCAUGUGCUUCCUUUCUAUGCCCAGGUCUAAAUGUCCCUGUCCUUGUAAGGAUGCCAAUCACAGGGUUUGGGGCCACCCUCAGUGACCCAGGAUGACUUCAUCUUGACUUGAUGAUGUCAGGAAAGACCCUUCUUCUGUUAAAGUCCUGCACGUGAGGACUGGGAGUUAUGGCUUGAACAUGCUUGCUGGGUACAAUAACCCGAAGCCAGACCAUCUGAGUUGCUUCCAGGACCUCACCUCAGAUACAACCCACUGGAGGAAGGGCCAGAGCUUCCCACCAUCCCUCAGAAGGGUGCCUAAGGCCACUCUGAUAUGUAUCUGGCUCUACAGGCUCUGGUGUGGCCAUUGGGCGGAUUCUUGGGAAUCCUGCCAUCACCAGCUGUGACUCAGGCCAUCGCUCACCCUACCAGAGUCUGGGAUUCUGUGAAAGUGGCCAGGUGAAAUUCGGGAAGAGCGUCCCUGAGGAGAAAGCAAGGCGAGCACUCCCCUGCUCCCAUCGCUCACCAGCCUCAGCACCCUGAGCUGCGGAGGAGCAUCUGGGCUCUGAGUGAUGCACCACGGUUUCUCCUAUUAUUCCCUCCUCAUUUGUUUGUUUGUUUGUUGCUUGUUUGUUGCCUGUUUUGCUUUUUGAGACAAGGUUUCUCGGUGUAGCCCUGACUGUCUUGGAACUUGCUCACAAACUCACAGACUCACAGGUGCCUCUGCCUCCUGUGUGCUGAGAUUAGAGGCGCAUACCACCACCGCCUGGCUUUUUUUGUUGUUGUUGUUUGAAUACUUACCUGUUUGAGACAGCAUCUUGUGGAGGCCAGGCUGCCCUAGAACUUCCUGUGUAGCUGAGGACAGUUAUAAACGGAUCCUCCUGCCUCAGCUUUUCCAGUGCCGGGAUGACAGGUGUACACCACCAUUCUUGGUUUUAUGCAGUGGGGAGAACUGAACACAGGGCUUUGUGCGUGCUGGGCACACACUGUACCCAGAGAGCAACCUGUCCUUCUGUCUUCCUGGCCCUGGGGUUGCCAGCCUCUUCUAAAUAUUAGCUUGCUUUUGUUUUUUUUUUGUUGUUGUUGUUGUUGUUUUGUUUUGUUUGUUUGUUUUUGUGGCUGCUGCAGGAUGCCGACAUUAAUGGGAAUCCAACCAGUGACAUCACCUGCCUUUCAAAGGUAUUUUGUACGUGGACAUGAACCUGUAAUCUUAGUACUUACAUGGGAAGAAGAGGCAAGAAGAUCAGGAGUUCAGAGGCAGCCUGCCUGCAGAGCAAGGCCCUACCUCCGAAAAAGACGUUUAAUAGCGAUUGCCUAAGAAGAUAGAACUCUUACGUUCUCUCCUGGGCAGAGGGCAAAUUUUCUGCCUGGCCAGCAAAUUAGAACAAACAAAUCAAAAUAACAUAUCAUCCUGUAGGACAGAGUUUGGCAGGUUUGUGUACCCUCGAAGGACUGUUACCAGCGCAACUGUUUUCAGACUGUUCCUGAGGGUUCUCAGGUACUCUCAUCUGUGACACAAACAGCCUGUGCACACCUACCCACCCACGCCAGCUCCGAAGAAAGGGGCAAGAUGCAAAUGUGAAUCCCCAGUCACCUACAGAGAAUGGUCCUGUGUCCCAAACCCAGGAGUCACACUGCUCCUACCAGCAGCCGGAAUGCUGCCCUGACUUGACAGGAGGCCGAGCUCUGGUCCCCCUGCAGCUCCUCAGGACUUGUUCGCUCCAUCCCUUCCUCCUCCCACUCUGCUUCCACUCCCCCUGGAGAGCGCCCUCCCUGUGUCCCAAGCGCUGAGAGAGCCCGUCCCUUCUUACUGCUUCCCUUGAAGGGGAGUUGUAAUAGCCCUUUCCUUCUCUCCUUAGACACGGUGCUACAGGAGAGCGUGCUUCUUAAUAGCCAGGAACUCGAGGCUGCUGGCCGCAGACAUGACUAGGCAGCUGAGCCCGUAAACACUGCUUUCCAAAAGUGGCUCAUGAACACGGGAGUGCGUGCUCACUGUUCCAGAGAAUGCAUGUUAUAUAAACGUUUGUGCCUAGAGAAAAAAAAAAAAAAAAACAACAACUGUGAGACACUUGUACAGCCGCAGCGUGUGCCGAGAAUAGUUUCCUUGAGCCCCACACGCAGGACGCUCAACCACACCCACCCACACAACCAUAGUGCAUCUCCAGUAGGCCGGGAGCUAGUGACAAAAGCAGGCGGAUGGCGUGGCCCUCUCUAGAUUCUUACAGACAUGUGCGGAAGGGGGAAGCAGAGAGCGAGGUGGGUGGGUGUGUAUAGCGUGGUGCGUGCGUGGCGUGUGGGGAGGUCUGUGGUUUGGUGUGUGGAGCAUGGGGGAUGUGUGCGUGUGCAGCCGUGGUAAAGCGAGUGUGUGUGCGGUGUGUUGUGUGUAAGGGCUGGGGUGUCGUUCUAUAGACACACUGAUGAACCCAGUACCACAGUGUGGCUGUAGCCCUGUUCCAUAACCAUGUGGGCCCCCAGGAGCCGGGCUCUACCCUCAUGCUCUACCUGCUCUACUCAUGCUCUUCAGGUACCUGCCUUUUAAAACUCUCUUCCCCAUCCAUUCUCAAAGACAUGUUUAAGUCCUCUGUGAAUUCCAAAUUGCUUUAGAGAUUUAUGUCUAGUUGACCUGCAGUUUGUCUGUCUUUUCUGUUUGCUGCACCCUGCGUCCAUUCAGAAUGCUUGCUUUGGUCCUGGUGUUGCACCUUUCAUUCCGGCAAACCUGGUGUUUAUUUCUUCAUUCUGCACUCACCUUAUAACUCCUGUCCCAAACCAUAGGGCUCCAUCUUUUUCCAUCUCAGAGUUAGACUGAAUUGGACAAUCACCGGGGCAUUUUCAUUAUGCCCACUUGACAGCAUCUGGUUGUUUUUUACAUUUUUGUUUUAUUUUUAGACAGGAUCUCGCUACACAGCCCUGGAACUCACUAUGCAGACCAAGCUGGCCUUGAACUCAUGGAGAUCUGCCUGCCUCUGCCUCUCUAGUGCUCAGAUUAAAGGUGUACGCCACCAUGCCUGCUCAAUUUUUAAAGAUUUAUUAUUAUUAUUAUUAUUAUUAUUAUUAAUUAUUAUUAUUAUAUUAAUGUGUGUGUAUGUGAGUGUAGAGCCAGGAAUAGAGGCCAGAAAAAGGUACUGGGCCCCCUUGAGCUGGAAUUGCAGGCAUUAUUAGCAGAUGCUGGGAACCGAACUCUGGUCCUCUACAAGAAGAGCAGUUUGUUGUAACUGCUGAGCCAUCUCUGCGGCCCCAUAAGUGAUCAUUUCUAUCCUUUGUCCUCGGAGGCAGUAAAAUUAGUUAUGUGGGAGAAGUUUUCUUUCUUAAGCAUCUUCGUUGACAGAUGUGAUUUCACAAUGAGAAGCAUGUCUAAAUGACCCGUUUGGUCUUUUUGACAAUUUCUUGAAAGACAACACAUCCAAUGAGCUCGGUAAACUACAGCCUGGCCUUAGAAGUCCAGCUAAGGAGGGCCCAGCUCUCCCUUAAGAAACAUGGCUCCCGAGGCUUGUCCAAGAACUAAAUCCAGUUUCAAGUCUGCCUAGACAGUGUUAGCAAAUGUGUGUGUGGUGAGAGCCCUGCCCUCCAACCUCCGCCUCAGAAUGGAGCUCUGUGUUCUGGGCGGAGCUCCCUCAGCUCAGGGACCAGAGGACAUGGUGAGAACGUGGGUUCCAAGAUGAGACAAGAAAACAGGGAGUAUUUGCUUAAGAUGAGAUCUUUACAUAGAUCAAACCUCCCCCUGCCCUCAAGUGCUGGAGUCACAGGCACACGCCACCAGAGCUGCUUUCUUAGUGCUAGGGCCAGAAGUCAGGUUUCCAUGCAGACAGGCAAGCAGGUGAGGGCUGGCUGGUCCAUCAGAGGGAGACCACACCAUACCCACAUUCCCACUGAAGCUCAAGAUUUACAAGAACUUUGUUGGUGGACAGUCUGUCCACAGUGGUGUCUGAAUACUCAGAACCCCAGCCCCAAACCCGGCCAGGACAUUGAGGCUGAAGGACAAGGUCAGCUGUCCUUCCUCAGCACCCAGCACCUGCUGCAGGGCUACACACCACCCUAAGUCCUCCUAACAGUGUGCUGCUCAGGGACCCACUUUCUAAAACAAGGUUUGAGGAUGUUAUGGAGUAUGAGACUCUGCCGGUCUCACCUGUACUGACCUCCCAGGCAAACAGGAAGCCAGAGAGCCCCGGCAGCCCAACCAAUGGUCUGCCUGUGCACUGCGGUUCCCCCAUCCACACCAAUGACUCACCCUGUCUAGCCAGCAGUGGGCACUGAGACCCACCCCAAGAACUGUGUCCCAGCAGUGUACAGUGAGUGACUUUGGCUGCCUUGGGCACAACACACACCAAGGAGGGUGUGUAGAGGAAUUUAAUUCAGAACAUGGCUGCUCUGGCCAAAGUACCCAAAGACCUUCUGUGUGAUCUGGCUGGAAUACAGACAUGCCUUUAAUCCCAGGAGACAGAGGCAUGCAGAUCUCUGAGUUCUGGUCAGGGUCAUUCAGCAAUGAGUUGAAAACCAACACAAUGAAGAUCAGAGGCAGUUUUACCAGGACAGUUUUACAGAGACCACUUGAAGAGAGAACAAGCUAGACAUAGUUGAAGACAGAACAAGCCAGAGAAUGAGAAGGAGCCAGAAGAUUAGAACAGGUUGCUAGAGUUAGUUUGAGGCCAAGCAGAACAAUUCAGUCAUAGAAACCAGAUUGAAUCAGUCAGUUAGGAGAGGAGUUUGAUCCAGAACAGCUGAGUUGAACCAGCCAGCCAGAGUUCAGAAAGAACAAGAAAGGGUGAGCUUAUUCAACAGUAAGUUUCAGAAGCUGAAAACAUUCUAGGCCUAGAUCAGAUUGUAUGAAGGCUAGAAGCUUCCAAGACUAGGCCUAGGUUAGCAGAUGGAGGCCGUAAACCUCCUAGACAACAAUUAAAUCAGGUGAAUAAGUUACGUUACCAAAGGUGAUGAGACUGGGAUCGGAGCGCCCAUUUACCUAGGGGCUUGAUAUGACCCUGUGGAAGAUUCACAAGAAUCGCCUCUGUGGUAGACACUGGAAGAUGUGUGUUUACUCCUAAAAAGGGACUGGGGUGUCUCUCAUGCUGAGAGGCUUCCUAACCCCAUGGAACUCAUCUCCAUAGCCUAGAAAGAACCCACCUAUGAGGACAGCAGGAAGGCUCGGCUAGCAGAGUUCUGAAAGAAGGAAGUCAGCACACAGACGAAAGAUGAGGCUCAGGAACUUGGAUUCCAGGAGUGGGGCACAGCCAGGAACACAGGCACAGCUUCUGGCCAGGGACAGCGUAUGCCACCUUCUGAGGGCAGAUCUUCAGAUACCAGCCAAAGCUGCCCCGGGGAAGCCCCUCUCCUGAGCCACUUGACAGCAUCUCCUCCCAAGAGGGCAGCCGUGCUGGAAGAAGCCUUCAGAGUCGAGCUCUGCACCCACCGAAUUCAUUAUACGGGCUGGAGUCCCAGCCAUCUGGAUGGCACGGCUGCCCCUUGCUGUUUGGGUGCACAAAGCCCACCUGUUGCUACAUGUCAUCAAGUUCUAGUUUGCAGCCCUGCAAAAAUGAGACUGGGCUUGGAGAAUGUUUCUACAGUAGGUGGCCGUUUGCAUCCGUUGGUUAAGGCAGCCAUAACAAUGUGCCACAGAUCAGGGCACUUCGACAACUCUUAUUACACAUAAUUCUGGAGGUGAGAAGCAUAUAGUUGGGUGCCAGCAUGGGAUGGAGGGUUCAGGUAAGACCCUCCCUGGGCACAGAUGGUGCCUUUACACUCUGGCUUCUUGGAGUGGACUUCAAGCUGCUGAUCUGGGAUAUAGCCUAGCACUUACAGUAGAUAUAGCUCCAGGCGCUGUGGUCUGAGCUGGCCCCACCGUCCCUUCUGCUCCAUCAGCUCAGCACACUCCAUGCAGGGCAGUGCGGCCACCAGAUGACCCAUGUCUGAUGGCCAAUAAUGAGAUCAAGAUGAAUGAGAUGUUCCCCUGUGGGGUUGCAGCUGCAUCUGAUGUUUCCUCAUUGGCCAGUGGACGGGGGCUCAGUCUUGUUCUCAAGUGUCACAGAUAGGCAUGAACAGAAGCUAUGCCUGUGCUCCUGUCUGUGUCCCAGUCCUGGACAAGCAGCAGUGCCCAGGUAUCCACCACCAGGUUGGUGACUUUGGAGGCAGGAUCACUAGAAAGAGAAAUGGAGCCAGGGACACUGAGAGUGGUCGGCUUCAUGAUGGCUUACGGUUAUGCAGCAAGGGAAGACAUUCUCACACCCAUACUGACAACCGCCCAGAGGUCAGACAUAUCUGUUAAAGUAACUUUUAUUCACCCAAUUUAAUUGUCAUCUCAGAGUCCGUUUGCUAACCUAGGUCUAGUCCUGGAAGCUUCUAGCCUCCAUAAAUCUAAUCUAGGCCUACAAUAUUUUCAGCCUCUGAGACUUAUCUGCUGAAUAUGCUCACCCUUUCUAGCUCUUUCUGAACUCUGACUGGCUGAUUCAACUCAGCUGCUGUUCCAGCUCAAAACUGCUCUCCGACCUGACUGCCUUCUCUCUUGGCUUCUGAUGGAAUUACUGUGCUUUGUCUCAAACUAACUUUGGCAAUAUAUUCUAAUCUUCUGGCUCCUUCUCAUUCUCUGCCUUGUUCUGUCUUCACCUGUGUCUAUUUUUUUUUCCUCUCUCUCUCUGCAACUUGUUUCUGUAAAACUGUCCUGGUAAAACUGUCUCUGAAUUCCAUGAACUGCCAUGAAUGCAACUCCAUUGUGCUGCUUCUCAACGCACUCUCAUCUGAACUCCCUGGAGAGCACUAAUCAGAACUCAGAGACUGCGUGCCUCUGUCUCCUGAGUGCUGACAUUAAGGGCGAGUAUCACCAUGCCUGGACCUAAGCUUUUCUUUACCUGAAACUUGCUCUAUACCAGGCAGGCCUUGAACUUGGAGAUCUUCUUGCCUCUGUCUCCUGGAUUAAAGGCAUGUUUGUAUUCCAGCUGGAUCACACAGACCCAGAAGGUGUUUGGAUCUCUUGAUCUCUUGCCAGAGCAGCCACAUUCUGAAUUAAAAUUUCUCUACACAUAUCUGCAACAAGUGGGAAUAUUCCCUGUGACUAAGAUGAAAGGCUCACUGUGGGGAACAGUAAGGGAUCGUGAGUAAUUACAAAAGUAAAAAUCCAGGGACUUAAAAGGCAUAAAGAUGUGAAAGGAAGACGCCAAUGCUAUGAAUGUUUGUGUGGGACUAGCUCCUCCCACAAAAGAAAAUGCAUAAAACAGGGCAACAGGGUAAACACAGGAUGUCUUCAAAGGAAAAGCCAUAAAUCAACUUUAUUAGUAAGCAACAAUAAUAACUUAAACAAAAGAUGUCAUCAUUAUUAAAAUAAAAAUAAGUAUAAAAGAUAUAAAAACAUUUAAAACACAACCCCAAACAAGCUGAAAUUAAUUUUUACUUAUUUUUGUGUAUGAGUGUUUUGCCAGUAUGUACAUCUGUGCGCCACAUGAGUCCAUGGUACCUUUGGAGGUGAGAAGAGGGUACUGGGAUCCCCUGAAUCUGGAGUUACAGCAGUUGGGAGCACCAUGCAAGUGCUAGGAAUUGAACCUGGAUCUUUUGCAAGAACAGCCAGUGUUCUUAACUGCUGAGCCAGAGCUGCAACCCCACAAGUUAAAAUCAAAGUAAACUCCUGGGCCAGCAAGAUAACUCAGUAGGUAAAGGUGUCUGUUAGGAAGCCUGAUAGUCUGAGAUCAGCUUCCGGGAACCACAGAGUGGAAGGAGAAAACUGACUCCUGAAAGGUACCUCUGUGCAUGAACACAUAUGUGUACACAUGUAGACAGAGAGAGAACACCCAGAGUAGGGAGGAUUAAAAAUAAACUUCAAAAAGUAAUAAAAAUUAAAGACACAGGAAUAAUCCAGAGAAUAUGAAUAUGAAAAAUAAACUGUAUAGCCAGGGGGUGGUGACACACGCCUGCAAUCCCAGCACUUAGGGAAGCAGAGGCAGGUGGAUCCCUGUGAGUUUGGGGCCAGCCUGGUCUACAAGUUGACUACAAGGACUGCAAGGGCUACACAGAGAAACCCUGUCUCAGAAAAAGAAAGCAAAACAAAAAGGAUUAAAAUAAUAUAUAAUGUUACUGAAUUAGAGUAAUGUUCAUUCUCAUGAUGCUGUGACUGUCACCCAGACAAAUGUCCUGAGGAUGGAAUACUAAAAAAUGCACUCUUGGAACUUGCCGUGCAGCUAAGGUGCUCGAAUGAGCUUUGAGAACCAUGUCCAGGGGACAGGAAUGGGGUGACAGUGCUCUUUCUGCAAUUCAGGUGGAGGGUACAGAUUGUCCAUCAUCCAAUUCUUUUAACUUUUCUCUACCUUUAAAAGUUUUUGCUGCAGUGGUGGCACACGCCUUUAGUCCCAGCACUAGGAAGGCAGAGGCAGACCAGAUCUCUAUGAAUUUGAGGCGAGCCUGGUUGACAGAGCAAGUUCCAGGACAACCAAGGCUACAAAGACUGUCUUGAAAAAAGGUUUUCGAUUUUUAAAAACAGGAAAGUUAAAAUGGACUUUAAAAAAAAAAAAAAAAAAAACCUGCUCUGUUCCUAUGCUAGUACCUUUCCAAGGCAAUAAGACACAAGUGAUACACAAUCAUUAUGUAUUGUGCUGGCAAGUUUCAGGUCAACUUUAUACAAGUUAGAGUGAUUUGGGAAGAGGAAACCUGACCUGAGAAAACAUCCCUACCAGACUGGCCUGCCAACAAGCCUGACGGGCAUUUUCUUCAUCGAUGGUAGAUGGGGAAGGGCCCAGCUCAGUGUAGGCAGGGCCAGGGCUGGUGGUCCUUGGCGUGUUAAGAAAGCAGGGCUUGGAUCAGGCCAGUAAACCACACUCCUCCAGGGCCUUUGCUUCAGCUCCUGCCUUGACUCCCUUGGAGAAUAGACUGUGCCUUAGAACUGUAAGGAGGGGAAAUAACCCUCCUCCCUCCCUAAGUUGCUUUUUGCUUUUUAUCUCAGCAAGCGGAAACCUAACUAAGACAUUUAAAUACAAUACUGGGGGCUGAGUAAAUGCCCCCUAAAAGACAAAGAUUAAAACUCCAGCACAUGCAACAUAGUUUAAACUCUGUGGAGACUAAGCAGAGGGUUCUGUGGAAAGCAGAACGGUAGAUGCUGACCCUGGGCUGGGGUCGCCCUAGGCAGGGAGGACAGGUGUCGCCACCUACCUCCCAUUCGCUUGCUUCCCUUUGCAUUGUCAGAGGCCAUGAUGGGCCACGACAGCUGGCUGUGACUCCAGGCCAGUUGCUCAACAGACAGCAGCAGGACACUGCUCACUAUCAGAUCUGCCGGGGAACUGCAGUCAUCCCCGCCUCAGGCCGCUCUCGGCCCAGCUGCCCUGACUGCACUUCCCUGUGCCUGUGCGCUUCCCUGUUGGGUGAGCCCAACAGAAACCCGAGCUUCCCACUCUCUUCCAUCCUGAGCACCAGUUCUGAAGCCACAACGGGCUUUUUUUCCCCCGUUAGAAGAUUAUCCACAGUCCAAAGGUGCUCCGUGAGGAGGUGUAACACGUCAAGCCUGCUGUGGCCCUUGGAGCUGACUUCAGAAAUCCUUUGGGUUCAGGAUCUCCUGUGAGAUCAGCAGAGGCACAGGGAAAGAGUUCUGCAUUUUCCCUCUCCAUCCAGCCUCCACUCAAAAGGUGUGUACACGUGUACACACACACACACACACACACACACGAGGAAGUACUUCUCUUAAGACUGGCCUCACCAGCCUCAGAACGUGCCUGAUACCUUGCCUGUGAGUGACAGCCUGCUCCUCCCCAGAUAUUCUAGUCCCUGGGUUGGGUGCACAGCUACCUGCCACCCUGACCUAGGCGAUAUCACAGGAAAGUACGGCUUCCAUGUGGCCAGCCUGAAAACAGCCUCUGUACUGUGUAUCCUUGGCUUGAAAGACUCUGCGGAUUGUUUAGUGGCUCUUAAUGGAAACCUGACUUUUAAAACCUAACACUUGGACCCCAGAAUGAAAGUCCUGCAAAAAAGGCUUUGAGGCAGGAGGCUGGUGAUGGGCCGAUUGGGAACUACUUCCUGGUGACUCAGGACCACAGCAAAGGGUCAGAUCCUUGCCUUAAGCACCCUUAAGGCUGCUUGGACCAGACACAAAAUGGAAAUGUCCUUCUAACCAAAAAGACCUGGGUUUUCUCCAGGCCACACUAGGGACAGGGGGAGGACUUAGAGGCAUGUGAGAAGGACGACAUGAAGGGACUCAAGUGCGAGAGCUGGGGAGCACCUUGCUUCCUGUAGUUCUGUCUUAGCAGGUGGCAGCUCGGAGAGCCCCAGGCCGCAAACAGGCAUGUCACACCAUCCAGAAAUAGAAGUGACUCCCCGCUUAGGCUGGGUCACUCCUUCCAGCCUCGGGGCUUUGGUACAGGAGGAAUGUGAGUCCAGGAGGCUUUCAACAGAAAAGUAAAAGUCUCCUAAGCUAAAAUGCUUACUUGAAUGAGGUAUAGCCUUACAAGAGACACAGUGGCUUCUGGGUAGAACACCACAGCCAUAUAUUUAAAAAAAAAAAAAAAAUCUAAGUUCCUUGGGACUGGGGAAACAGCUUAGUCUAAAAAUUAUUUGCCAGGCAAGUGUAAGGACCAGAGUUAAACCUGGCAACAAAGGCUGAGUAAGCAUGGUGGCACAUAUUUGUAAUCCCGGAACUAGGAAGGCACAGGCAGACAGAUCUUUCAGGCUCGUUGGCCUGUCAUCUUAGCCUACUUAAUGAGUUUUGCCUCAAAAAACGAGUUGAAUGGUGACCUGAGGAACAAUAUCCAAGCUGACCUCUGGCCUCUCCAUAUGUACAUCCACAGACAUGCAUAUGGACCUUCUCUUUCUCUCCCUCUCUCCUUUGCUCACUUGCCUGUGUAUGCAUGCACACACACACUUCCAUUUGGUUCAGAUGCACAGCAAGAAGACAAAAAUCAUUUGCUCCAGCACCCACCCCAAACCCUACUCCACGAAUUUAAACAGCAUUGCUUUCACUCAAUUUAUUCAUGGUUUGAUUAUAUCCUCCAAACUCCACAUAAUGAACUUUCACAGACAAUGAGACAAGCGAGAGACAGAGCCUCUAAGGGUGAGCAGGACAUGGAUGUGCCCCUUGUGCAUGGAUUGAGACUCUUAAAAAAGAAGUUUUGUGCCAGCGUGCCCUGCCACUCCCCGUGCUGGGAUGUGCCCUGCCCUGUGAGGACACGGCACUCUGAGACCAUCUGGAGCGGGAUGGAGCCCACACUGGACAAUUGAGCCUGCUGAAGCCUUGAUCUCAGCUUCCAGCCUCCAGCACGUUCUGGAGGCUGGGAGUUCAAGGCCAAACUAUGAACACAUUCUGUGUCUAUGGUAGCAUGGUCUCACAGCGACCCCAGAAGAGCAGAAGACAAAGGAUGGCACCCAGUCACUGCCCUUCAAGUUGAAAAGAGUAGUAAAUGGGAUUCCUGUCCACCACUAACCACCUGCUGGAAGAACCACUGUCACCGAAACCAGCGCCUGGAUUUGAGGUGUGUGAGGGCUACCGACUUUUCCCACAGGUAAGACUGCCCACUCCUCCCACAGGCCCACCAACAUUGGAUCUGAGUUUGAAAGAAAGGUGAUGAUUACCAGAGGGAAGGGGAGAAGGAGACUCUUGGGAGCAUGGCAAACUGAAAACGCACAGGCUGGAGGGGGCACACAUGGUAAAUCACUUCAUCUCACCGAACCUCGUUGUCCCUCGGAGGGUGACUCGGGUGAGUGGGAUAAACACUCAUUGCGUGGCACGAAUGAGCUGUGCGAGCAGCAGGGCUCGCUGACCACAUAAAGGAGGACAAUACAUUCCUUCCUUUGCACUAUUUCUACACCCUACCAUCCCACUGCACACCUGACCUGUGACCCAGAAAAGGCAGAAGCUGCAGAGGACAAGGCUGGGCUCCGAGUAAGGCUCCGGUGCCACUGGGGUCACUGAAGCACUGUGGAAGGUUAGGCGGUACAAGUAAGAUGGCUUCUGUGAGGAUGUCCCAGGCGGAGGCUCCAGUUUCUAAGAAGGGAUUUCACAGAACGUUGAGUACUCUAGGUGGGGCUCCGGGGUGCAGGGAGCUGGGGCUGCAGUCCGGGUCUGUAAUGAGCUGGGUUCCUGCAGUGUAGCCUACCGCUGUGUUCUCAGCCAGGUGCCUAGGUCCCUCUGAAAAUGAUCCGCCCCAGUCCCACCCCUUCCCCUGCACAGUGCUAUGCAUUCAGUACACAGAAACCAGCUUCUUGUACCUCUGCUUGGUCAUUCUAACACCAGAAAAUGCAAGGUGUCUUUUCAGAGGAAUUUAGGGCAAUGGGGCCCUUAGGCAAGCAGACGGUGACAAGGUGUUUGCCCUCAACAGGGAUGCUAGACACAUGAUACCACGGGCUGCCGCUCACGGCCAGCCUGGAAGGAUUCACACCAGAGGGCAGCCCUGCAGUCUGGCCGCAGAGGAGAGGGGAACACUGGGCAGCUUCUCCCCUUAGCCAUGGGGCCCUAAUUAGUCUCGACCAACCCCAUGAGUGCACUUACACCAGGUCCAUGGGAUGACGCCAUUCCUAGAAGGGCCUUCCUGGGCUAGCUCAGAAUACAAGGUUGAAAUCAGGACAGCUCCUCAGUGGGUGGCGACCGUGAGCCAAUGCUGCUACCCUUGGCUCCCCAGCCUCUCUGCUUCCCUGCUUCCCGGCUUCCAGCCAGCAUUCCACAACACCCCGGGACUGCUCCCCUGGACAGCCACCAAGCCCCAGCACACACAGCAGAACCACAGAUGUAGGCCCCCACAUCCCGAGCUCAGGCAUUCCCAGCGAAUGUGAGCAUGACCGGCAGGCCCGCACAUUCCUGUGAGGCGCUUCCAAGGCUCCAGCUUUCUGACGAGGUUUUCCAUAAAUAACAGGCGCCCUCGCCUGUGUUCCUGGAAUAUGCAGACACUCAAGGGCCUGCUGACUGACUGACUGAAGCAGUCGCCGCCUCUCUUUGCAGUCUCUAAGGGCAAAGGGCCUGGAGACAGCAUGACCAUUCCAAAAAUAAUGUGUCCCAGAAGGCCAGGAGCGUGACUCCCCGAGUCACUCCCUUGAGUACUUGACUUAGUGUGCCCCUACCAAAAGCGCUUCCGACACCACAGAAGUGUAUUUUGUUUAUUUGUUUGGUUGGUCGGUCGGUUGCUUGGUUGUUUUUUCAAUACAGGGUCUCACACUAUAGCUUUGGCUCUGCUGGGAUUCACUUUGGAGACCAGGCUGGCCUCAAGUCACAGAGAGAUCUGGCUGCCUCUGCCUGCCAAGUGCUGGGAUUAAAGGCUUGUGCCACUACGCCUGGCUACAGAAGUGUACAUCAUUUUUAAAGUUCUGCUUUUUUAUUUUUAACAGACACAUUCCUUCCCCCCCCCAACUCUGGCUCAGGGACCAACAGCAUUGCACACAGACAUUCUCAUAUAAAAAUAGAGUGGAGGGAUGGCUCAGCGGUUACGAGCACUGUCUGCUCUUCUAGAGGUCCCGAGUUCAGUUUCUGGCAACCAUGUGGUGGCUCACAAUCAUCUCUAAUGAGAUUUGGUGCCCUCUUCUGGCAUGCAGGUGUACAUGCAGACAGAGCACUCAUAUACAUAAAAUACAUAAACAAAUCUUUACUGUAGUGUGACCCAUUCCAAGUCAGGCAUGCAGUGGGCUGCUCUGUUCUUUUCUCAGUUCCCUUAUUAUCCAAGUAAAUUUCAAUAUAAAAAAGUAGAGAGAAUUAAAAGGAGAAAAGUAUACUUGGUGUACUUAUUUUCAUUUUUCUUUAACAAGGCCUUUUUUUUUUUUUUUGAGAGGGUCUAAUGUCACAUGUAGCCCAGGCUGGCCACACCCUUGCUAGGUAGUUGAGCAUGACCUUGAAUUCCUGGUCUUCCUGUCUCCACCUCCCAAUUGCUGGGAUUACAGCUGAGUGCCGGCCUCACCGGCUUACUUACACUCUUUCACGCCAGGCCAGAUAACACGCCAGGUAACACGCCAGAUCAUGCGAUGUACAUGCCAGGCCAUGUUUCCUUCCCUUCUUCUCUCCACAAGCCUGGGCGCCGGAACAGCAAGCACACUUUCAUCUUUACAUCUUGUGACACCAAUAAAGCGUGUCUGUCUGUAGAGAACUGGAAGCCAAGAAGUUCUGGCUCUGUGGGCAGAUGGUCUUUGCUGCUGUGUGUGAACAAAGACACAGACAACGCAUAAGUGAGAGGAUGGCACGGUGUGUUCUAAUAAAGCUUUAUUAACAAGAAGAGGCAACAGGUUGAAAUCGGUCUUCAGGCAGUGCUUUGACAACCAUUUUGUAAAUUAAACAAACGAAGUCACAAUGUUGGCAUCGCUCUACAGAAGCUAGUCUACUGAAAGCGGCGCUCUGGAGACUUCCGCGCUCACAUGUGCCACUCUCCCUAUUCCAACUGCCCCGUAGACAGAAUGGUAAAGGAAUGUUCCCAGCUUAUUGCUCUUCUCUGUUCUUGAGGGAACCUGGAUUGUUUUCACCAGGAACCAUGGCAAUGCAUUUUCAUUCCAAGAUGGAUUUCUGUUGUUGGUGGUGGUGGGUUUUUUUUUUUUUAGACAAAAGGGUUUCUCUGUGUAGCCUUGGCUGCCUGAACUCGCUUUGUAGAUGAGGCUAGCUUCAAACUCUGCCUGCCAGAGAUCUGCCUGCCUCUGCCUCCCGGCGUGCUGAGAUUAAAGGCAUGUGAAACCAUGCCUGGCUGCCCCACGCUGUUUUUCAUCCUAUUACUUUUAAUGCUUUUACUCUUUCCAUUUGUAGCUUGAAGUAGCCCUGCUCACUUUUUCCCUCCUGACCCAUGUGAUACUAGUGGUGACUUGAGCCCUUUCUAUGAUGGUUCAUCUCCAUUGUCAACUUACCAUGAGUUAGAGUAUUCUAUGAGACAAACUUCUGGAUGUGUUUCUAGAGAGGUUUAGAAUGUGAGGAUCUGGCUGGCACCAUCCCACAGGCAUCCUUGGUUGAGGCAGGAAGGGGCUGGCUUUCCUCUCUGGUUCUGUGUGGUGCCACUCUCCAUGCCCUUGCCACCAUGUGCCCUCACCACCAUGGGACUCACCUUAGAGGAAUGUUAGUUCAGAACAUGGCUGCUCUGGCAAGCGAUCACAUCCGAAGACCUUCUAGAUGUGUGCAAUCCAGCUUUAAUCUGGGAGACGGAGGCAUGCAGUUCUGAGUUCAAGGUCACCCUGGUAUAGAGCAAGUUUUAGGUAAAGAAAAGCUUAGGUCAAGGCAUGGUGUUACACACUUUUAUCCCAAACAAUGAAGGUAAAGUUAGUUUGUAGAAAGAAGGAAGCCCCCAUGUUUGAAAGUGAUGUCUAAUUGAGUGGCAGAAAUAGAGACGAAUCAGAGAAAGAGUUGACAGAAUAGAAUACGCCUAACUCUCACAAGAAGAGAGAGGAAAGGGAAGCUACUCAAGGGGCAAUGGGG